CACAAUCCAAUUUUACAAUCACAAAAGAAUCCCAAUUGCCCAUUUGUAGUCAUUUCUCCUUCCCACCACAAGCUCACGCAACCAGGAAUCUAUUUUCUGUCUCUUUGGAGUUGCCUGUUCUGGAAUAUUUCAUAUAGAGGAAAUCGUAUACUAUGUGGUUUUGUGACUGGCUACCUUCACUUAGCUUAAUGUUUUCAAGUUUCCUCCACGUUGUAGGUAUUGUAGUCAUAUCAGUGUUUAUUUCUGCACUGCUGAAUCACUUCCCAUUGUACAGACCUGGUCCGUUUCAUUUUUCCCAUCACCAGUUGAUGAAUAUUUGGAUUGUUUCCCCUUUUUGGCUAUCAUGAGGAAAACUGCUAUAAGCAUUUGCAUGUAAGUCUUUGUGAGGGAGGUAUCCAGAGAGGCUAAUGGAAGAGACAGGCUUUGGGAUUUAUUUGCAGAGAGGUUAGGCAUUCAGACAUGUGGAAAGAGAGAUGAAAGGAAAGUGCACCUGAGGCUGAACAAGUGACUAAAGGAGAAGCCACUGUGCCUGUCGAAAGAACAAUGAAUAAUCCAGAAUUGAUAGAUAAGUAAGACUGGGGAAGGAAGAGAAAGGAAGACACAGCCUCUGAGAGCCGGAUGAAGACACAAAUGGGAUGGAGGCUGCGGCUGUUAAACCAUCAGGACUCAGCGGCUGUUAAACCAUCAGGACUCAGCAAUUAUUUCAUGUGGAGACAAGUGAUGGCAAAGCCAAAAGGCCACGGGUGUUGAGCUGUUGACGAGAAACUGAAAGUGCCAUUGUGUUUAUACAGGAAGCUGCCAUUAGUAGGGAUUUGAAAAAGCAAGAGGAGAGGAUGAGUUUAGUGGGGAGUUCUUACACUUCAGGUGCUAGUGGAUACCACCAAGUCAAUAUUGAGUAGCAGGAAACCAGGGCCUGAUGUUCCGUCAGGCCAUCAGGGCGGAGACAUUGUGGAGAGGAAGUUUUGAGGCUGUGAGAUUAGGAGAGAAGCAUGGAGUGUAGAGCAGGAACUAGGCCUCUCUUUACCCAAAAUCCAAAACCCCACUUAUGCCAGACACACUCAAUACUUUCUGCUGGGAUCCUCAAUUCUCAUAAAGUUUUCAUAAUAAGGCCGGGCGGGGUGGCUUAUGCCUGUAUUCCCAGCACUUUGGGAGGCCGAGGCGGGCGGAUCACCUGAGGUCAGGA
rnacentral:lncRNA from 1 species